rnacentral:rRNA from 1 species
UGAGAGAUGGAGUGACACAGUAGGAUAAGCUAACCGUACUGUUGGUUAUGUACGGCUAAGCAUUGAGGCAGUCUAAAUAGGCAAAUCCGUUUAGACAAUGCUAGGAUGUGAUGGGGAAGCCCUUCGGGGCGAAGUAACUGAUUUCACACUGUCAAGAAAAGCUUCUAUCGAGUUUAAAGGCGCCCGUACCGUAAACCGACACAGGUGGGUGAGGAGAGUAUCCUAAGGCCAGCGAGAGAACUAUUGUUAAGGAACUCGGCAAAAUGACCCCGUAACUUAGGGAGAAGGGGUGCCUGUCUAUGACAGGCCGCAGAGAAUAGGCCCAAGCGACUGUUUACCAAAAACACAGGUUUCUGCUAAGUCGCAAGACGAUGUAUAGGAGCUGACGCCUGCCCGGUGCUGGAAGGUUAAGGGGAUCUGUUAGAGCAAUCGAAGCAGUGAACUUAAGCCCCAGUAAACGGCGGCCGUAACUAUAACGGUCCUAAGGUAGCGAAGUUCCUUGUCGGGUAAGUUCCGACCCGCACGAAAGGCGUAACGAUUUGGGCACUGUCUCAACAAUAGACUCGGUGAAAUUGUAAUCCCGGUGAAGAUGCCGGGUACCUGCGACAGGACGGAAAGACCCCAUGGAGCUUUACUGUAGCUUGACGUUGGGUCUUGGUACUACAUGUACAGGAUAGGUGGGAGACUAUGAAGCAUGGACGCCAGUCUGUGUGGAGUCAUCCUUGGGAUACCACCCUUGUAGUACUGGGAUCCUAACCAUAGGCCUUGAAUCAGGUCUUGGAACACCGUCAGGUGGGCAGUUUGACUGGGGCGGUCGACUCCUAAAAAGUAACGGAGGCGCUCAAAGGUUUCCUCAGCACGGUCGGAAAUCGUGCGAAGAGUGUAAAGGCAAAAGGAAGCUUGAUUGCAAGACAUACAGGUCGAGCAAGGACGAAAGUCGGACUUAGUGAUCCGGUGGUACCGCAUGGAAGGGCCAUCGCUCAACGGAUAAAAGCUACCCUGGGGAUAACAGGCUUAUCUCCCCCAAGAGUCCACAUCGACGGGGUGGUUUGGCACCUGAUGUCGGCUCAUCACAUCCUGGGGCUGUAGUAGGUCCCAAGGGUUGGGCUGUUCGCCCAUUAAAGUGGUACGCGAGCCGGGUUCAGAACGUCGUGAGACAGUUCGGUCCCUAUCCGUCGCAGGCGUAGGAAAUUUGAGAAGACCUGUCCUUAGUACGAGAGGACCGGGAUGGACGUACCUCUGGUGUACCAGUUGUUCUGCCAAGGGCAUGGCUGGGUAGCUAUGUACGGAAUGGAUAAGCGCUGAAAGCAUCUAAGCGCGAAGCCAACUUCAAGAUAAGAUUUCCCACCGUAAGGGUAAGACCCCAGGAAGACUACCUGGUUGAUAGGUCGAAGGUGUAAGUGCAGUAAUGUAUUUAGCUUAUCGAUACUAAUAGGUCGAGGACUUGACCG